rnacentral:rRNA from 1 species
AACGAACGCUGGCGGCAGGCUUAACACAUGCAAGUCGAACGCAUCCUUCGGGGUGAGUGGCAGACGGGUGAGUAACGCGUGGGAACGUGCCCUUCAGUUCGGGAUAACCCAGGGAAACUUGGGCUCAUACCGGAUACGUGCGAGAGCAGAACGAUUUAUCGCUGAAGGAUCGGCCCGCGUCUGAUUAGCUAGUUGGUGGGGUAAUGGCCCACCAAGGCGACGAUCAGUAGCUGGUCUGAGAGGAUGAUCAGCCACAUUGGGGCUGAGACACGGCCCAAACUCCUACGGGAGGCAGCAGUGGGGAAUAUUGGACAAUGGGCGCAAGCCUGAUCCAGCCAUGCCGCGUGAGUGAUGAAGGCCUUAGGGUUGUAAAGCUCUUUCGUCCGGGACGAUAAUGACGGUACCGGAAGAAGAAGCCCCGGCUAACUUCGUGCCAGCCGCCGCCGUAAAAC